AGAGCGAACGCUGGCGGCAGGCCUAACACAUGCAAGUCGAGCGCCCGUAGCAAUACGGGAGCGGCAGACGGGAGAGUAACACGUGGGAACGCGCCCUUCGGUUCGGAAUAACUCAGGGAAACUUGAGCUAAUACCGGAUACGCCCUUACGGGGAAAGAUUUAUUGCCGAAGGAACGGCCCGCGUCCGAUUAGCUUGUUGGUGAGGUAAUGGCUCACCAAGGCGACGAUCGGUAGCUGGUCUGAGAGGAUGACCAGCCUCACUGGGACUGAGACACGGCCCAGACUCCUACGGGAGGCAGCAGUGGGGAAUAUUGGACAAUGGGCGCAAGCCUGAUCCGGCCAUGCCGCGUGGAUGAUGAAGGCCCUAGGGUUGUAAAGUCCUUUUAACGGGAGAUAAUGACGGUACCCGUAGAAUAAGCCCGGCUAACUUCGUGCCAGUAGCCGC
rnacentral:rRNA from 1 species